AGUGGCGAACGGGUGAGUAAUGUAUCGGAACGUGCCCAGUAGCGGGGGAUAACUACGCGAAAGCGUAGCUAAUACCGCAUACGCCCUACGGGGGAAAGCAGGGGAUCUUCGGACCUUGCACUAUUGGAGCGGCCGAUAUCGGAUUAGCUAGUUGGUGGGGUAACGGCCUACCAAGGCGACGAUCCGUAGCUGGUUUGAGAGGACGACCAGCCACACUGGGACUGAGACACGGCCCAGACUCCUACGGGAGGCAGCAGUGGGGAAUUUUGGACAAUGGGGGAAACCCUGAUCCAGCCAUCCCGCGUGUGCGAUGAAGGCCUUCGGGUUGUAAAGCACUUUUGGCAGGAAAGAAACGUCGCGGGCUAAUACCCCGCGAAACUGACGGUACCUGCAGAAUAAGCACCGGCUAACUACGUGCCA
rnacentral:rRNA from 1 species